AACUCCGUUGAUUACGAUCAUACAGGUGGUUGAGGACUUUCUCGGCAAGACAUAUGGGCUAUCCUCAAACUCUGUGGAUCUGAUGGAACUCUACUUCCCAUAAUCGCGUUGAACCAAUGCUAACUAAACGUGCCGCGUUACAGACACUUCUCUCCUUAAAGACUAAGAGAGAACGUGAAUCAAAGUCUGGAAAUCCUCACGAUAUUCGCUGAGAAUUGACCGAUAACUGAUGCAAGCGAAAUAUCUAAGUCGCCCUUCUUUCGGUAAACACGCUGACUUGAUGAAAGGCAUUCAAACAGCGGAGGAAUCUACAUUCGGAAUCCCUUUUUAUUAUCUAUGUGUGAAAAGGUGCCUUCAAUUGAACAUACUUUGUGUGUGUUCGGCCAACAUCAAUUUUAUUCAACCCCAGCCAGGCAUUGAAGAAAGAAGAAACAAACAA
rnacentral:sRNA from 1 species